AGUGAACGCUGGCGGUAGGCCUAACACAUGCAAGUCGAACGGCAGCACAGUAAGAGCUUGCUCUUACGGGUGGCGAGUGGCGGACGGGUGAGGAAUACAUCGGAAUCUACUUUUUCCUGGGGGAUAACGUAGGGAAACUUACGCUAAUACCGCAUACGACCUACGGGUGAAAGCAGGGGAUCUUCGGACCUUGCGCGAUUGAAUGAGCCGAUGUCGGAUUAGCUAGUUGGCGGGGUAAAGGCCCACCAAGGCGACGAUCCGUAGCUGGUCUGAGAGGAUGAUCAGCCACACUGGAACUGAGACACGGUCCAGACUCCUACGGGAGGCAGCAGUGGGGAAUAUUGGACAAUGGGCGCAAGCCUGAUCCAGCCAUACCGCGUGGGUGAAGAAGGCCUUCGGGUUGUAAAGCCCUUUUGUUGGGAAAGAAAAGCAGCAGGUUAAUACCCCGCUGUUCUGACGGUACCCAAAGAAUAAGCACCGGCUAACUUCGU
rnacentral:rRNA from 1 species